UCGAACGGAAAGGCCAGUGCUUGCACUGGUACUCGAGUGGCGAACGGGUGAGUAACACGUGGGUGAUCUGCCCUGCACUUCGGGAUAAGCCUGGGAAACUGGGUCUAAUACCGGAUAGGACCACAUUUUGGAUGGUGUGGUGGAAAGUUUUUCGGUGUGGGAUGAGCUCGCGGCCUAUCAGCUUGUUGGUGGGGUAAUGGCCUACCAAGGCGUCGACGGGUAGCCGGCCUGAGAGGGUGUACGGCCACAUUGGGACUGAGAUACGGCCCAGACUCCUACGGGAGGCAGCAGUGGGGAAUAUUGCACAAUGGGCGCAAGCCUGAUGCAGCGACGCCGCGUGGGGGAUGACGGCCUUCGGGCUGUAAACUCCUUUCGCUAGGGACGAAGCGCAAGUGACGGUACCUGGAGAAGAAGCACCGGCUAACUACGUGCCAGCAGCCGCGGUAAUACGUAGGGUGCGAGCGUUGUCCGGAAUUACUGGGCGUAAAGAGCUCGUAGGUGGUUUGUCGCGUCGUUUGUGUAAGCCCGCAGCUUAACUGCGGGACUGCAGGCGAUACGGGCAUAACUUGAGUGCUGUAGGGGAGACUGGAAUUCCUGGUGUAGCGGUGGAAUGCGCAGAUAUCAGGAGGAACA
rnacentral:rRNA from 1 species